rnacentral:rRNA from 1 species
UGAGGAAUAUUGGUCAAUGGUCGAGAGACUGAACCAGCCAAGUCGCGUGAAGGAUGACUGCCCUCUGGGUUGUAAACUUCUUUUACAAGGGAAUAAAAUGAGAUACGUGUAUUUUAUUGCAUGUACCUUGUGAAUAAGCAUCGGCUAACUCCGUGCCAGCAGCCGCGGUAAUACGGAGGAUGCGAGCGUUAUCCGGAUUUAUUGGGUUUAAAGGGUGCGUAGGUGGGCUGUUAAGUCAGCGGUGAAGGUUUGUCGCUUAACGAUAAAAUUGCCGUUGAAACUGGUAGUCUUGAGUAUAGAUGAAGUAGGCGGAAUGCGUGGUGUAGCGGUGAAAUGCAUAGAGAUCACGAAGAACUCCGAUUGCGAAGGCAGCUUACUAAGGUAUAACUGACACUGAGGCACAAAAGGGUGAGUAUCAAACAGG